rnacentral:SRP_RNA from 1 species
CAGAUCCAGGUUAUCUAAGGAGGAGCGAAUCGGGCCAGGAGGGAAACCUAGCAGCCAAAAGUUCCCGUGUCGGGCAGUAGUGGGAUCGCGCCCGUGAGUAGGCGCCUUUCAGCAGCCCAGCCAAUAAAGUCACACCUACAUUUUU